rnacentral:rRNA from 1 species
UACAGAGGUCCCAAGCGUUGUUCGGAUUCAUUGGGCGUAAAGGGUGCGUAGGCGGCGCGGUAAGUCGGGUGUGAAAUCUCGGGGCUUAACUCCGAAACUGCAUUCGAUACUGCCGUGCUUGAGGACUGGAGAGGAGACUGGAAUUUACGGUGUAGCGGUGAGAUGUGUAGAUAUCGUAAGGAAGACCAGUGGCGAAGGCGGGUCUCUGGACAGUUCCUGACGCUGAGGCACGAAGGCCAGGGGAGCAAACGGGG